rnacentral:lncRNA from 1 species
AAUAAGUCAUAGACAUAGGUUAAAGAUUGUAGAAAUAAGAUAAAAUAGGAUAAUAAAAAUAAGUACUAUGAGAUGAGUAAUGUUAAACUGCCCUAGUAAUAAGUUAGAAGUAAGCAUAGAGCAUAAGUUCAUCAGGAGUAAGCAUAAGUAACAUCAGGAUAAUCAUGUAACUGUAAGACAUAGGAUUUAAGCUACAGGAAAUAAGAUAUAGCACAAUGUAAGGUAAUGAGUAAAAGUCAGUAGGCCAGUGUAGUUAUA